rnacentral:lncRNA from 1 species
UUUUCCUUUCUCUUCGUUUCCUUAUACUCCAUACUCUUAUGUUGCUGUUGCUGAAGAAAGAAAAUAGUUACAUACUAUAUAAACAUGCAAUAUUUUCAUGUCUUGUUUUUCUUUUCUAUUCCAUGUUAUUUUUGGAGUUUUUAUAAGUUGAGAGUUUUGAUAUAUACUGAUUUAAACACCCAAACUAUUUUCUUCUACAUAAUUUUUCUUUACUGCUG